rnacentral:rRNA from 1 species
UACGGAGGGUGCAAGCGUUAUCCGGAUUCACUGGGUUUAAAGGGUGCGUAGGCGGGCAGGUAAGUCCGUGGUGAAAUCUCUGAGCUUAACUCAGAAACUGCCAUGGAUACUAUUUGUCUUGAAUAUUGUGGAGGUGAGCGGAAUAUGUCAUGUAGCGGUGAAAUGCUUAGAUAUGACAUAGAAUACCUAUUGCGAAGGCAGCUUACUACGCAGAUAUUGACACUGAGGCACGAAAGCGUGGGGAUCAAACAGG